rnacentral:tRNA from 1 species
GGCGCGGUGGCGAAGUGGUAACGCGGGAGUCUGCAAAACUUCUAUGCAAGGGUUCGAUUCCCUUCCGCGCCUCAA